rnacentral:rRNA from 1 species
AUUGAACGCUGGCGGCAGGCCUAACACAUGCAAGUCGAGCGGAUGAAGGGAGCUUGCUCCUGGAUUCAGCGGCGGACGGGUGAGUAAUGCCUAGGAAUCUGCCUGGUAGUGGGGGAUAACGUCCGGAAACGGGCGCUAAUACCGCAUACGUCCUGAGGGAGAAAGUGGGGGAUCUUCGGACCUCACGCUAUCAGAUGAGCCUAGGUCGGAUUAGCUAGUUGGUGGGGUAAAGGCCUACCAAGGCGACGAUCCGUAACUGGUCUGAGAGGAUGAUCAGUCACACUGGAACUGAGACACGGUCCCGACCCCUACGGGAGGAAGCAGUGGGGAAUAUUGGACGAUGGGCCAAAGCCUGAUCCAGCCCUGCCGCGUGUGUGAAGAAGGUCUUCGGAUUGUAAAGCACUUUAAGUUUGGAGGAAGGGCAGUAAGUUAAUACCUUGCUGUUUUGACGUUACCAACAGAAUAAGCACCGGCUAACUUCGUG